AAAGUCGUAACAAGGUUUCCGUAGGUGAACCUGCGGAAGGAUCAUUAACACGUAUCCACGUACCACUAGUAAACCCAACUGUGUGAACUGAGAACUAAGGUCGCGGGAGCUCGGACCUAAAACGAGCUUCACUCUUGUCAUUUUUCACCCCUUUUUGAAUUUUCUUGACUGAAACCGAGAUCGGGAUCGGAAACGACCCGCCAUCUCUUCGCUCGGUCCUAAAAAAACCGAAUCGAUAAACUCUUAACAACUCUUAGCAACGGAUAUCUUGGUUCUC
rnacentral:misc_RNA from 1 species